GGAGGGGUGAUCCGAAUUGGUUAAGGAACUAGUCUUGAAAACUAGCGCCCGCAAGGGCAUGUGGGUUCGAGUCCCACCCCCUCCG
rnacentral:tRNA from 1 species